rnacentral:rRNA from 1 species
GACGAACGCUGGCGGCGUGCUUAACACAUGCAAGUCGAACGGAAAGGCCCCUUUGGGGGUACUCGAGUGGCGAACGGGUGAGUAACACGUGAGUAACCCGCCCUUGACUUCGGGAUAACUUCAGGAAACUGGGGCUAAUACCGGAUAGGAAUCCUUGCUGCAUGGUGGGGGUUGGAAAGCUUCGGCGGUUUUGGAUGGACUCGCGGCUUAUCAGCUUGUUGGUGGGGUAGUGGCUUACCAAGGCUUUGACGGGUAGCCGGCCUGAGAGGGCGACCGGCCACAUUGGGACUGAGAUACGGCCCAGACUCCUACGGGAGGCAGCAGUGGGGAAUAUUGCACAAUGGGCGGAAGCCUGAUGCAGCAACGCCGCGUGCGGGAUGACGGCCUUCGGGUUGUAAACCGCUUUCAGCAGGGGCGAAGCUUUUGUGACGGUACCUGCAGAAGAAGCACCGGCUAACUACGUG